UACGUAGGGCGCAAGCGUUAUCCGGAAUUAUUGGGCGUAAAGAGCGUGUAGGCGGCCAGGUAGGUCCGCUGUGAAAACUCGAGGCUUAACCUCGAGCUGUCGGUGGAAACCAUCUGGCUAGAGUCCGGAAGAGGAGAACGGAAUUCCCGGUGUAGCGGUGAAAUGCGCAGAUAUCGGGAAGAACACCCGUGGCGAAGGCGGUUCUCUGGGACGGUACUGACGCUGAGACGCGAAAGCGUGGGGAGCGAACAGG
rnacentral:rRNA from 1 species